UACGGAGGGGGCGAGCGUUAUUCGGAAUUAUUGGGCGUAAAGGGCGCGUAGGCGGCCUGGCAAGUCAAAGGUGAAAUCCCUCGGCUCAACUGAGGAACUGCCUUUGAAACUGCCUGGCUUGAGGCCGGGAGGGGGUAGCGGAAUUCCCAGUGUAGCGGUGAAAUGCGUAGAUAUUGGGAGGAACACCAGUGGCGAAGGCGGCUACCUGGACCGGUUCUGACGCUGAUGCGCGAAAGCGUGGGUAGCAAACAGGAUUAGAAACCCCGAGUAGGCC
rnacentral:rRNA from 1 species